GCCCCUGUAGCUCAAUGGAUAGAGCACUGGCCUUCUAAGCCGGUGAUAGAGGUUCGAUUCCUCUCAGGGGCACCU
rnacentral:tRNA from 1 species